CUUUGCCAAACCACGAAACCAAGGUGGCUAUGGUGGUUCCAGCAGCAGCAGUAGCUAUGGCAGUGGCAGAAGGUUUUAAUUACUGCCAGGUAAGUAAACACCUUUUUAUGUUUUAAGUUAAUUUUUGUAAAUGAUAACCCAGUAACCCUAAUGUAGCUGAGCAGUGCAACAUAGUUAACAUUAUAAUUGCAGUAAAAUUUUGGAUAUUAAGUUAAUAUUCAGAUCAGCAAAAUUUGUGGGAAACAAAACUUGCUAUUGGAUUGUAGCUUUGAGUCUUAAUAUGUUUAGAUUAACAACUUUAUUCCAUAUUGUUCAACAGGAAACAAAGCUUAGCAGGAGAGGAGAGCCAGAGAAGUGACAGGGAAGCUACAGGUUACAACAGAUUUGUGAACUCAGCCAAGCACAGUGGUGGCAGGGCCUAGCUGCUACAAAGAAGACAUGUUUUAGACAAUACUCAUGUGUAUGGGCAAAAAACUCGAGGACUGUAUUUGUGACUAAUUGUAUAACAGGUUAUUUUAGUUUCUGUUCUGUGGAAAGUGUAAAGCAUUCCAACAAAGGGUUUUAAUGUAGAUUUUUUUUUUUUUGCACCCAUGCUGUUGAUUGCUAAAUGUAAUAGUCUGAUCAUGACGCUGAAUAAAUGUGUCUUUUUUUAAAUGUGCUGUGUAAAGUUAGUCUACUCUGAAGCCAUCUUGGUAUACUACCCCAACAGUGUGAAGUUAGAAUUCCUUCAGGGUGAUGCCAGGUUCCAUUCGAAAUUGAUUUGCAACCUGCUUGGGCACAGAAGCCAUUGUCUCCACAAACCUUGGUGUAGUUGAACUGACAGUUAAUGUGUUGUGACCUGGAGUUCACCAUUAAAAGGGUCACCCAAGCAAAGUCCUGGAGUUUAUUUGGUUAUUAAUAUGAUUGUUGGCACAUCCUAUGCAAUAUAUCUAAAUUGAACUAUGGUAUCAGAUAAAAUUAUAGAUGGGAUUAAAGCUUGUGUAUCAUCCAUUAUCAUGUGUAAUCAAUAAACGAUUUAAUAUUCUCUUGAAUGGAAUGACAACUGUAUGGAUUUGGGACUGGCAGAGCUUUGGACUUCCCUACCCACUACCCCUCAUAAUGUUGAAUGCUUCUAUCACGAUUCAAGUUCAAAACUCUGCCAGAGAAUAGAAACCAGCUGCUGGCUAAUGCCACCCCAUAAGUGCACAGAUUAGAAGUGUUUGGGAGACCUUUUUAAACUGACCAGCACCAGUAAGAAUAUCUUAUUUCUAAUACAAAAACAGGCUUACAUUAAAGGAAAACAGCAGUUUUACUUUGUUCUGGGGGGUGGGUCCCAGUAGAGGUUUAUAGAUUAACCAUACUAUUGAAUGUGUUUGGACAUUAAAAUUAUGGAGAUGGUGAGGAACCUUAUUAUAUUCAUGUUAACUGCAGUUUUCCUUUAAAUAUGGUACAUCACACAACCAUCUUAAAUUUGUUAAUUGUAUAGAAAAUGAUUUCUUUAAAGCCUUUUUUAUAGUUACUUAAUAUCCAAUCAUUGUUAUUUGUUACAUAGGUUCUUGAGCCCUCCCUUUGGUACCCUCAAUUUCAGUGCCAUUGUACCUGGUAGCAUAGAAAAUUGUUUAUCACUAGGACUGUGUAUUCCAUCCCAUGGGUGUGUUACUUGGAAGUUUGGGGAGGAGGGUGGGCAGGGAGUGGGGGGGGAGGUGGGUGGGAAAGCAUGGUUGAUAGUUCCAUGAGUUUGAUAUUGGCUGAGUUUGCAAUGGCAGGUGGAACCUUAACUAUUGAGGGAGUUUGCAGAUACCUCAGGAUUCGUGACAAUGCCUUUAAAGAUCCAGGAGAGAUGUUCAGCUACUAGGAACUGCUAGCAAGUAUAGCGCGAAUGGCUCCGAGCUCAGACACUCUACAGCUGAGAGUAGACACUUGUGGUAUGUGGAGUACAGAUAAGCCAGGGGCAGGCCACGGCACGCUCCAUGAAAGCUAGGAGGGAGUGAAGUUUCAGUGACCAUCGCAAGAAAGGAGGCAGACAAGAGUAAGGCACACCUGACUCUUAGGACUAGCAGUCAGAACCAGGAGGAAAGGUUUUAUUGCUAUGCUGGUAGGUAAGAACAGAUUUUACUUACGUCCAUAUAGUGUUCUCUAAAAUCCAGUUUUGUUAUAUUUUCCUUAAUUAUAUUGAGCCAAAACUAGUCCAGUUAAGCUGAACUUUGUUAUUUUGGAGAUCAAUUGUUUUAAAUUGACACCCUAGACUUGGCUCCCAAAUUAAGUGAACACUAAUUCUACUGUGGCAAUAUAUUUUUGCCCUUUAAUUUUAUUUGCUACCUUCCUUUAACCCAUUUCCUUAAAACAAUGGCUCAAAGUAAUGCAUUAAAAUCUUCCCCAAAACAUGGCGGGAGGGAAGGGUGGAUCAUUAAUUUUGGGGGGUGGGGGAUUUACCCUGAGCUGGGACUUGGUCUCAGAAAAGCUAGUUCUAAAGGUUGUUUACUUUUCUAGGGAGGAGUCUGCUACUCCAGGCUAAUCAACUCUCUUUAAAAAAAAAAAAAAAAACAAAAAAAAAUCAGAAACUCAUCUGUCCAAAUUUAUGGCUAAAAGCAACAUCCUUAAUGAGGACAACCUUUAUCUGAGCCACUGCACCUCAUUUUCACUGCCAUGCAGUUGUUAGCUGCUUUGCAGCUUGAAUUAUUCAGUUUUAUGAAUGGACUUUUUUUAAUAAAAUGCUUUUAACUUCG